ensembl:snRNA U6 U6 spliceosomal RNA
GUGCUCGCUUCAGUAGCACAUAUACUAAAAUUGGAAUGAUAUAGAGAAGAGUAGCAUGGUCCCAGCGCAAGGUUGACAUGCAAAUUCGUGUUAAAAAAAUAAACUAU